AGCGGGAAGAGCUCAAAUUUAUAAUCUGGCACCUUCGGUGUCCGAGUUGUAAUCUCUAGAAAUGUUUUCCGCGUUGGACCGCACACAAGUCUGUUGGAAUACAGCGGCAUAGUGGUGAGACCCCCGUAUAUGGUGCGGACGCCCAGCGCUUUGUGAUACAUUUUCGAAGAGUCGAGUUGUUUGGGAAUGCAGCUCAAAUUGGGUGGUAAAUUCCAUCUAAAGCUAAAUAUUGGCGAGAGACCGAUAGCGAACAAGUACCGUGAGGGAAAGAUGAAAAGCACUUUGGAAAGAGAGUUAACAGUACGUGAAAUUGUUGGAAGGGAAACGCUUGAAGUCAGACUUGCUUGCCGAGCAAUCGGUUUGCAGGCCAGCAUCAGUUUUCCGGGAUGGAUAAUGGUAGAGAGAAGGUAGCAGUUUCGGCUGUGUUAUAGCUCUCUGCUGGAUACAUCUUGGGGGACUGAGGAACGCAGUGUGCCUUUUGGCGGGGGUUUCGACCUCUUCACACUUAGGAUGCUGGUGGAAUGGCUUUAAACGACCCGUCUUGAAACACGGACCA
rnacentral:rRNA from 1 species